UCCCGUGUUAGUCCCACCUGGGACUGUAGUCUGUGUCUUGUCUUUGAAAUUCACACUUGCUCCUCAUUUUCCCUGGCUGGUUUGCUGUCCAUACUGAGGUGGGCAGGCUAGAGUAAUGGCAGGGAGCGUCCCUUGGGCGGCAUGUAGGAGACUGUGGGGCUGGAUGCCCUCGGCCUGCGGAAGCUUCUCUCUGGGUGUUCCACUGUUGGCCCAUGUAAGGUUCACUCUUUCACCUCCCAAAGUGGUUGAUCGCUGGAACGAGAAGAGAGCACUGUUUGGUGUAUACGACAACAUUGGGAUUCUGGGGAAUUUCGAAAAGCAUCCAAAAGAACCGAUCAAGGGCCCAGUAUGGCGUCCAGGAUGGAGAGGAAAUGAAUUGCAGCGUUGUAUCCAUAAGAAGAAGAUGGUGGGAAGCAGAAUGUUCAUUGAGGACCUGCACAACCUUAACAAACGAAUCAACUAUCUCUACAAACACUUUAACAGACAUGGGAAGUACAGAUAGAACUGGAAAUUUGUCACCCUGCAGAAGGGGAUCAGGACUUUUCCUAGCUUUGUGUGGUCUUUGUAAUAAAAAUGGGGCUUUU